rnacentral:rRNA from 1 species
AUGCGUAGUACGCGAGUGAGCGCAGCUCAAUGAAUCUGGUACCUUCGUGUCGAGUGGUAUUGUAGAGGUACUUGGGCUGGUCUGUCUAUGUUCUUGGACAGACGUCAUAGAGGGUGAAGAUCCGGUGUGGCGAGGAUCCAGUUCUUUGUAAGUGCUUUCGAAGAGUCGAGUUGUUUGGAAUGCCAGCUCCUAAGUGGGGUGGUAAAUCAUCUAGCUAAAUAUUGGCGAGAGACCGAUAGCGAACAAGUACAGUGAUGGAAAGAUGAAAAGAACUUUGAAAAGAGAGUGAAAAAGUACCGUGAAAUUGUUGAAAGGGAAGGGCAUUUGAUCAGACAUGGUGUUUUGCGCCCUCUGCUCCUUGUGGGUGGGGGAAUCUCGCAGCUCACUGGGCCAGCAUCAGUUUUGGCGGCAGGAUAAAUCUGCAGGAAAUGUAGCUUGCCUCGGUAAGUGUUAUAUCCUGUAGAAAUACUGCCAGCUGGGACUGAGGACUGCGACUUUACGUCAAGGAUGCUGGCAUAAUGGUUAUAUGCCGCCCGUCU